GUCAGACUUGAUCCUGCAGGGAAUGGGAAACCCCUGCAGAAUUUAUAGUCAGGAAGUAUCAGGGCCAGGUUGACACUUCAGAUCAAGAUCUCCAGAUUGGCAGGCAGAGAGCAAGGCCACUGGUUCUAGUGUGAGAUAAUGGGGGACUGGGCCUGGGACUGAGCAGGGGUGGGCGGGGCAGGGAGUAGAGCCAAACUCUGCUAAGCAGUGACUAGGACUCUCCCGAUUGAGGCAAAGCUCUCCAGAUCUUGAGGCCCCAGAGGGCCAUAAAUACUUUCAUGCGCAUCUGUUCUCUUGGAGGGCUUGUCACACCUGAAGGCUCCUAGGCCCUGGCUCCCAGGGAUUCAGAAGUGAUAGGUCUAGGAUGAAGCCCAGGAAUCUGCAUACAUAAAAAGUGACACUCUCCACUCUGAUGCGGGUGGACUCCAUACCUUCCAGGCUGGGGAGGGGAGGGGGCAGGACAAGCACACUCUCAUCUGGACUGUGGCUGAAGCAGCUCAGAGAAUCGAAGGUAGCAUCUAAAAUAAGGACCUGGAUGCACUGGGAACAAAGGUAGUGUGUGUCUCCACUGCUGCAGCUAAAGAAUUGCAGUGGAGUGGCCCUGGUCAUCAUGCAGAAAAAUGACUCCUGAUCACCAGUCCAAGGAGCCACAGAAAUAAGAGAUGGGGCCAUGAUCGGACCAUAGAUCUGUCUUUUAACCUGUACCUUCUCCUAGGGUGCAGACAGGGAGGCAGGAAGGGGAUUACUGGAGGCUGCAGUAAACUAGAGAACAAGCUCUGUGCAAAGGAAGCCUCUCUUACCAUUCAGCAUCUCAAUGAAUUAACCCUCACAACAGCUCUAUGUGGUUGGUCCUAUUAUUAUUCCCAUUUCUUAGAUGGGGAAACUGAGACUCAAAAAGGUGGAGUAAGUAGUGCUGGGUCCCAAGGUGAGGACAUAGGGGAACCAUGGCUGGAACACAGGCCUCUGGACACUCCGAAUCAUAGCAUUGCCCUGUGUCCCCUUCAGUGGGAAAAGUCACUUCAUCUCUUAAUCUUAAAUGAUCUUCCAAGCAAGAGGAGGGGAGAGGAGGAGUAUAAGCUUUCUUUGUCCCAUCUUUUUCAGAAGGUAUCUAAGUCCUUCCUGUGUGUGUCUUCCAAAGAUACAGUACCAGGACCUAGAGAGGCUGAGAUUUAGAGCCUCAUGGUGCAAACUCAAUUGUAGGGUCCUAGCCAGGACUACUUGCCUGUAUCUUCUAAGAAUCUCACAACAGUGCCACAUGCCUCAGCUUUAUCCAAGCAACAGAAGGAGGUGGUGGAGGUGGUGAUGGCAGCAGCAGCAGCAGCAGCAGCAGUGGCAGCAAAUCUGUCCCCAGUGCACUACAGUACUGUUUUGCUAUGAUGAAAUACACAUGGCAUAUGGCUACAAAGUUACUAUCUUGAGAGUGGAUAGAAAUGGGAUUUUUCAUGUGCCAGAUUUCACUUCCCUUUCUGAAACAAUUCUUGUAGUAAACAGAGGUUUUCUGAUCUUGCUAAGAUCAAGAGGAUGGGAAUUCCUUUACACUUUUAAAGUAAGACCACUGUCUUGUAGAGUUUCAGUCUGUUGAUGGUGCAAAUGUUUUUUAAACAUGGACGCUAUUCUGUGUUCCUCCCUCUUUCCUUCCAAAGGCUACGACACAAAGAGGAGCUGCUAACACCAGAUGACCAACUCCUUUCCAGUUACGGACCAUCCCGGUGAUGAGACCUCCAUAUGUUGUCUGAUGGCCGCAGUUCCUUGAGAAGCGUGGCCUGUCAGCCCAGCAUCAGAUGGUUCCAUGCCAACCUCCUCCAUGGCUAGGUGUUGGAGCGCCCCAGCUGCUGCCUCCCUGGUAGCUUUCAUUAAAGGACUUUGCUUUUUUGGUAAAUAAGGGCCCCAUUUUUCUACCUUAGUCUUUGAAAAUCAACCUGAGAAACACUUUGUGAAUGGAAACCCACACUGCUGUUGUGAAGACACCUGAUGAAACUCCAGCAACUUCUACAUCUGGCCUGCUGCUUAGUCCUGGGACCUGAGGUCAAAAUCUUAGAAAAGAGCCAUGUGAGAUGCAUUCCCUGGCCUCAUCUCUGUUCUUGGAUGCUGUCAGCAACACUCCUUGAGUUUUUACCCACAUAAUAACACUUUCCUCAGCAUGGAUGUGGAGGUGGGGGUGAGGAAUGUUCUAUUUUUCCUUCGAUGGUUACGCCCUCACCCUACCAACUCAGUAAAAGGGGAGUGGUCAGGGAGCGUACUGAGAAUGUGUCCUAGC
rnacentral:lncRNA from 1 species